GUCGUCGUGGCCGAGUGGUUAAGGCGACAGACUAGAAAUCUGUUGGGCUCUCCCCGCACAGGUUCGAAUCCUGUCGGCGACG
rfam:Ciona savignyi cont_32572, whole genome shotgun sequence.